UACAGAGGGGGCAAGCGUUAUUCGGAAUUAUUGGGCGUAAAGGGCUCGUAGGCGGUCUGUCGCGUCGGGAGUGAAAACUCAGGGCUUAACCCUGAGCCUGCUUCCGAUACGGGCAGACUAGAGGUAUGCAGGGGAGAACGGAAUUCCUGGUGUAGCGGUGAAAUGCGCAGAUAUCAGGAGGAACACCGGUGGCGAAGGCGGUUCUCUGGGCAUUACCUGACGCUGAGGAGCGAAAGUGUGGGGAGCGAACAGG
rnacentral:rRNA from 1 species